AUGCCAAAACUCAGUGGCUUAAAACAAUAACAUCAUUUAUUUUGCUCAGAAAUCUGCAGACUGGACAGGGCUCAGCAGGGAUAGGUUGUCUGUGCUCACUCAGCAUAAGCUGGGACAGCUUGCAGGCUGAGGCCUGAAGUCAUGUGAAGGCUCUCUCUCACGCAUCUGGUGGUUGAUGCUGGCUGAUGGCUGAGAUUCAAGCUGGCGUGCCUGCCAGAGCACUCACAGAUGCUUCUCCAUGUCACCUGGGCUUCCUUCCAACAUGGUGGCUGGUGUUCCAUAGAUAAGGCAACAGAGGCCAGAGGAGGUUCAGUGAUGCACCCAGGGCCACAUAACCAGUGAAUGUUGGGGAUCAGAUUAGAGUGCCCACGUCUCCAGCCUCCUUCUGCCAUUGACACCAUCACAUCGACCAUCCGGGCAAGACCCCCGCACCGCCCCCAAGGGCGCAGGCUUGAUUUCACUGCCAAGCCAAUAAUGUCAGCAACAGCACUUAUGGUGCUGGACCAUAAAUGAAACAAGCUUUGAGAACUAACUGCCACCCCAGAGGCCUCAGGGAGGAGGUGGCUGCCCUCAAAGGCUCAGUCUCGUAUUCUGUAACCUCUCUACCCUGAAGAAGAUCCCACCAGCUGCCUCUUCUUCCAGAUCCUGCCAAGAAUUAGGCAUCUCCCAACCCCACUCCUGGGCCUCUUCUCCACAUUCUCCCUGCCAAUCAUCCCCUUUAAUAAAAAACGGUGAAUAAUUUUCUAGCAU
ensembl:lncRNA novel transcript